UGAGCAGGUUUUUCCAGUAAAGCAAAGUAGAUAUUCUACAAUGGUUUUCACAGCAAUAAGCCCCUGACAAGCAGUAGUACAUGUGCCCUGUGCUGCAAGCAUUGCUUGAAUACUUUUGCUUAUAACUAGUCUCACUGAAAUUGACAGGAAUAUUUCCCCCUUACUUACUUGCUCUGUGGGAGAAAAUAUUCUUUUCUUUACAUUUCCACUCCAUUCAGCAAACAUAUUACAAAGAAGCUUUGUAUACAUACACAGUAUACAUCUUACAUGCAGUCUGCAAAAGCCUGAUCCUUGUCUCUAAGAUUUCUACCUCCUGACACAUGGCUCAGGUAGCUAAGAGAUGUGUCUGGACUCUGACUUCAGCUAAAUACUUACAGAUUUGGGAAGAGUUGAGGCCAAGCAUGAACCUGUCCUGAAUUUAUCUUAAGUGCACUUCAGAUGUGGCACCUGAUUGAAUCCCACCUGGUGUACUUGAAGAGCAAGAACUCUUGAUGUUUUUUCCUCCUUCUGAAAACACAGAAAUGUUCACUUCUGUUCUGCUCCUUUUUCUUGCCACUGAAGCAAUGUUUGUUGCCUCUAAUAAAUGGAACCAAACUAGAUGAUUAGACGAUUCAUCAAAAAGAAAUACAGCAAUAGAUGGUCGCUGAUAAUUCUCUUUUCCUGAAUUGCUUACUGGACCCCUGCCAGUCCCUUACAAUUUUUGUCACCUGGAGGAAAACUGAGGCUUGUCCAGGGAGCAGCCUUGGUACCCAUGGGGCAAUAUGUAUAAGCAGUGUAAUUUGGAAGCUGAAUUUACAUUCCCAAAACAUCACAAGUCUAGCACCAUAUGCUAUUGCUAUUGACUGAGAAACACUGAAUGCCAGAAACUGAAAGUGGAGGUAUUCCUUCCUCAGGAUGUUUGCCUACCUAGUCAUGAGUGCACAGCUAUGCUGAGAAGUUGGAAGAAGUGUCACACGAUGGUACAUAAAAAUACAUCCUGUUAUCCUUACGCUGACAGCUCAAUCAACCCGUCACCAAGUAGCAAAUGUAUUCUUCUGGUUUCCAUCACAAUGAAAGAAAUAAUUCUCCUGUCCUAUGGUGAAUUUUAUUACAAAGAAAUAGUGUCUUACCAGAGCACAGGCAGACAGGAAGAAGAAGGAUAGUAGGGUUUUUUUGUUGUUGUUGUUUUUGUGGGGGUUUUUUUGUUUGUUUGGUUGGUUGGUUGGCUUUUUUGAGAGAGAGAGAGUUUGAUAUGCAGAACAGCUCUUCCUGUUUUAUCUGCAGCACCUACACAUAACCCCCUGAGCUGAAACUUCAUGCUGGGGAUCUGAUAGAACUUGGAAUCAUAAAAAAAAUCUAGGCACACAUAUCAGGUAUGUCUGUAAAAAAUAUACAAAAACCUAAACAAACCAUGUGAAGGGGAUUACUGAAAUCACAAAGGUUCAGACCAAAGGCUAAAGACCAGACGUAGUACAUAGGAGAGUCAGAAGAACUCUGCAGUUUAAACCAGAUAAAAUGUACCACUUCUGCCGCGCCCUUAACUUAUUUCAUUCAGGAAUAAAGUUUCGUUAGUUCUGAGCUGUGUUUAGGUGGUAACGGGGAAGGAUGGCACUGAGCAUCUGCGCGCGGUUUCUCCGUUCCUAAGCAGCGGCUCAUCCCGAGGCCGAAGGCACAAGAAGGCACACUGAAAGCAGCCGAGCAGGCACUGAAGGAGCUCCUUCACAGGGAGUCGAAGCAAGAAGCGCCCAUCCCCGCCCGUGCGGCACCCCGCGCCCCGCCGAAAGGCGGCACAGGAGCACCCCCUGCCGGGCAGCGGGGAAACGCGCUGCGGGCUGUGCGGCGGUCCUGCUCAGCGCCGCCAAAGUGGCUCCGGUGCGGGUCGGGCUCGGCCCGGUGACACCGAGCCUUAUCUGCCCUGGGGCUCGGCACGGGGAGAGCAGGGGAGUAGGGGUUGUGAGCACGUUCGGGUCACCCAGCGUCUUCGAGCCCGGGCUCUUCCCGCCAAGGUCUCGCUGUCCGCGCGCUUUGCAUCGUGUGCGCGAGUGUCGGGGCACCGAGGUGGCUGCCGUGAGGGCAGAGAACAGGGACCGCGCACCAGGGAGGGACAUCGCGGGCACCGAGCGCAUCCCCAGCGCGUUGCGUGUUUAGGUGGUAGAGAGGGAGAGAAGAGGGCGAGGGCUGGCCUGUGCUUCACCCUAUCAGCCUGCUCCCCUCUGCGCAGGGGUGCAGGGUGAAGGAAGGGCACAAGCUGAUGCCCUGUUCCUCAUCCCAGCCCGGUCCCCCGACAGUGCAGCUGGGAGCCGGGUCCCGAUGGGCACCGUGCUCCGGGAAAAGCGGCUCUCACUCCGUUUUGUGGGUGCGGGCGAAGAGCUGGUAGAACAAAGGCUGUUAUUAAUUCCCAUCUGAUGAAAGGAAGCUGCAGCUGUUUGAAGAGGUUUUCCUGCAAGCUAUGCAGAUCUGCUCAGAAUUUUAAUGGUUGUUUACCAACCAAAGUGUGCCAUUGAAAGAGCAAGACGUUUCAAAGCAAACAAGGUGUGAACGUCAUUUCAUCCUGGAAAUAAACCUCUUCUUUUUUGCAAAUGUUUUUUGUUGUUGUUGUUGUUUGUUUGUUUUUUUUUUUUGUUGUUGUUUUUCCCCAGAGCAAAGACAUUUCUAUAUUAGACUGUUUCGAUUUUCAGCAGUUCUAUUUUAACUCAUCCUCUACCAUCUAAGAAGCAUGCAGAAGAGCAGAUUCCUUGAAAUAUGCAGUGUAUUUGUAUACAGACAGAAAGGCUUUAUAAGGAAAACAUACGUAUUUCUGUGGAUCUCUAAGCAAGAGGAAGGAAGAGGUAGCUCUACAAAACACCACCCAGUUAAAAUAGUCUUGUGCAUAAUACUGGUGUCUGACCAAAGAGCCCAGCAAGCACUGAAGAAAAGCACAGUCACACAAAAGAUCAAAGAAAAGAGAAAGGAAGAGGCUAUUUUGUAUUCUGAGGAAUUAUAAGAUGUAAGGUUUCCUGUCAACUAACUCACCAUGAAAAGAAUGACAUGAGAGCAGUGAUCUCCCCUUCUUCAUUGGCUGUACAGUCACCCCUGUUCCUGAAUUCACAGAAUCACAGAAUUGUAGGAGUUGGAAGGACCUCCAGAGAUCAUUGAGUCACUGCAAUUGCUUGCAGCUUGCCUGAGUAUCUGUAGCUGACAACCGUGACCCUGCCAGAAAUCAGCCUGGGAAGCUCAUUGGUCUGGUCGGUGAACAGCAAGUUCUUAGCUUCAGUAGGAUUCUAAGUAGGUUGAUAGCAAGGGGGAAAAAGCUAGGGAAAGGUAUUUAGGCUGUAAGCCAGCCUCCCUCUUUCAAAAUCCAAAAGGAGAAGAACAAGUCAACAGACACUCAGAAUGUUAUCAAAUUUGGCCAGUUGUUUAUUUUUGUUAAUUUCUGCCUGAUGGAAAGGGAGAUUGGAGUACUGAUGGACCGUUGGCCAAAUAGGAGCCAGCAGAUGGCAUUCUGGCUUGAUUGGGGCAUGGUGUGGUGAGCAGGACUAGGGAAGUGAUCCUGCGUCCGUGGUGCGUGAGGAGCAGUCCCGGCUCUGUCCUGGAAGGAGAGAUGCUCCCGUCCUCUCGAGAGCUUGGCUGCUGUUCAUUGGGCUCUUUCCAGCGUGCCCAGGUCUCUGCUGUACUGGGGGGCCCAGAACUGGGCGAAGGUCUCACCGGGGCUGAGCGGAGGGGAACGGAGCGAUGACCUCGAGCUGCUCCGAGCGUUUCUCCUGACACGGUGCAGGGAAGUGAUGUCCGUCGAGCUGGCACGGAAGAGCCUCGGCGGCGCCUCGGCCUUCUCCCCCGCCAGCGCUUCCCCGUCCCCGCGCUGUCCCCAGGUGAGCUCGGGCCGCUCGCUCAGCAGCAGGGCCCGUCGCGGCCGCGGGGCCCGUCGCGGCCCCGCUCGUGGUCCCCGGAGCCCCACCGCCGCUCUUGGACCAGCCUCAGCCAGUCCUCGGCGUCCUCGGCAUCCCCGCGGCGAUCGCGGUCCCCGGAGCCCCACUGCCGCUCUCGGACCAACCUCAGCCAGUCCUCGGCGUCGUCGGCAUCCCGUUGGCGCCAGUAGAGGCUGCGGAUGAGCCAGAGGGGGCGUCCGAAAGGGCUGCGCUGCGCGCGGCGGGGCGAGACGCUGCGGGAGCGGUGCGGGGAUCUUUCCCGCUGCCGUCGGCUCCUCCGGAGCCUUCUCCGCGGCCGGCGGGCGGUGGCGGCCGCUGGGGGCGGUGGGGCCGGUGGCGGGAUGCUCGGCGCAAGUGGCGCAGAAGCUGUGCCCGCAGGGGAAGGUGCGGGUCGGGGCUUGCGGCGGGCUGAGGCAGAGGGGGCACGUCUCCUCCUCGUGGGCCUCAGCCGGCCACUCCUGUGCCCCCCGGCUCCCACUGGCAUCCGCCUCCUGGCUCAUGCCCACAGCUGCCCUGGCACGGAGGUGCUUGGAGUCGCUGGAGGCUGCCUCCGGCCCCCGGCACCUCUCGUGUGGUGUGUGUGUCCCACCAGUGAUGGACACCUCGUGUGCCUCUGGCAGGACGUCUGGAGUUCCUUCAGCUGGAUCCUCGGUGACUCAGAAUCUGCUCGCAGGACUCUGACGGCUCACGUAAGGCUGGCAAGGUCUGGACCUCUCAUGUUCCAGCAGGAAGAUGUUCACUCCUUGAAAGUCCCCAGCAGGACUGAAGGUGGGCUGGGUGCUCCAGGCACUUCUAGGCACCUGCCCUAUUGUGAGGUCAUGGGGUGACUGUGACUCUUGGGUGAUAUCACAAGGCAUGAAGCUAGAUGGACAUUUGCUUCCCGGUAGUUGUGGCAUUAAUAGCUCUGCUGUUUGCUUGCCAGACUCCACCCAAGGACUUUCACGGGGCUUGCUUGGUACAAACAGUACAAACGCUACAUGUACAAACUACAUUUGAGUUCUGUCCAUUUACUUUGACCCUGUUCCAUGGAAAGACACAUUUGCUGUAGUCUGGUUGAUUGGUUUCAGUAUAUUUCACAGAAUCACAGAAUGGUAGGAGUUGGAAGGACCUCCAGAGAUCAUCAAGUCCAACCCCCCUGCCAAAGCAGGUUCCCUAC